GUGCUUGCCUUGGCAGCACAAAUGUAAACAUUGGAAGGACUCAGAGAAGAUUGGCAUGGCCCCUGUGCCAGGGUGGCAUGCAGAUUUGUGUGAAGAGCCCAUAGUUUUA